GACGAACGCUGGCGGCGUGCCUAAUACAUGCAAGUCGAGCGGAUCUCUUCGGAGAUCAGCGGCGGACGCGUGAGUAACACGUGGGCAACCUGCCUGUAAGACUGGGAUAACUCCGGGAAACCUGGGCUAAUACCGGAUAAACCGUCGGACCUCAUGGUCCGGAGCUGAAAGACGGUUAUGCUGUCACUUACAGAUGGGCCCGCGGCGCAUUAGCUAGUUGGUGAGGUAACGGCUCACCAAGGCGACGAUGCGUAGCCGACCUGAGAGGGUGAUCGGCCACACUGGGACUGAGACACGGCCCAGACUCCUACGGGAGGCAGCAGUAGGGAAUCUUCCGCAAUGGACGAAAGUCUGACGGAGCAACGCCGCGUGAGUGAAGAAGGUUUUCGGAUCGUAAAACUCUGUUGUUAGGGAAGAACAAGUACGAGAGUAACUGCUCGUACCUUGACGGUACCUAACCAGAAAGCCACGGCUAACUACGUGCCAGCCGCCGCGGUAAUAC
rnacentral:rRNA from 1 species